rnacentral:rRNA from 1 species
GACGAACGCUGGCGGCGUGCCUAAUACAUGCAAGUCGAACGAGAGCGACCGGUGCUUGCACUGGUCAAUCUAGUGGCGAACGGGUGAGUAACACGUGGGUAACCUGCCCAUCAGAGGGGGAUAACAUCCGGAAACGGAUGCUAAAACCGCAUAGGUCUUCGAACCGCAUGGUUUGAAGAGGAAAAGAGGCGCAAGCUUCUGCUGAUGGUUGGACCCGCGGUGCAUUAGCUAGUUGGUGAGGUAACGGCUCACCAAGGCCGUGAUGCAUAGCCGACCUGAGAGGGUGAUCGGCAACAUUGGGACUGAGACACGGCCCAAACUCCUACGGGAGGCAGCAGUAGGGAAUCUUCCGCAAUGGACGCAAGUCUGACGGAGCAACGCCGCGUGAGUGAAGAAGGUUUUCGGAUCGUAAAACUCUGUUGUUAGGGAAGAACAAGUGCUAGAGUAACUGUUAGCGCCUUGACGGUAUCUAACCAGAAAGCCACGGCUAACUACGUG